rnacentral:lncRNA from 1 species
CCAAUUUGUCUGUGUCCUGUCCGUGUCCGGGUCGUUUGCUGAAAAAGGAGUACCUCUAUACCUAAUUUCAGCUGUUUUUUUGGCCUGAAAAUUUUUUGGUCUGUCUACUUAUAAGGAUAAGGAGAUUGGAUGUAAGAGGAACAGGAAGAAAAGAAUUCUCUCUCAAACCGGACUUUCCCAAAUCAAACUCUAUCAAACCGACCAGCAAAAUCUUGUCCAACAAAAUCCUCGUCCAGCCUCUUCGACAUACAGAAGUUGGAGACUAGAAUCCGUAUCCGUAUGUGAGCCAAAAAUAAUUUAUAAAAACAGGAAAUACUAGAGAGAUCUGAGAACCAAAUCGUAGGCCAUCAUGAUUUAGAUCGAGUCUAGAGCAAAAUACCAAAUCUAGGCUAUCAUAUAAAGAUUAGGAGAGAUCAGAGAACCAAAUCAAGCCCAUCACGGUUUAGAUCAAGACCAAAUAGAGUACAAUACCAAAUCAGAACCAUCAAAUAUACUUUAGAUCGAGACCAAACAUAGCAAACCGAGGCCAUCAACCAUGUAGCACAAAAAAUGAAGUAUAAACAGCCAGGGCCUCACCCGACGUCGUCUGCCACAAGGCCGCUAGCCGGCAACCUCCGCGCCCCCAUGGUUGGUCCCUUGCAGCCAAUGAGCCCGCGACCUCGAACGAUUGGCGGCCGGUGUGUAGAUACACCCUUCACCGGCUCUCCGCAUGCGCGGCACACUCGCGCUGCAGCCGGUUCCCGCUCUAGCUACUAGCGCCUGCGCGAUCGACGGCCAGCAGACCUACGCGGCCUCCGCACCUCGUGACUGUUUUCUCUGCGGGAGAGGGGGCUCGG